ensembl:lncRNA
AUGUCCAGUCUUCACGGAAACACAGAGAUCCCAAUGGCGCCUCAGCAACACCUUGCCACACGCAAAGUGCAAUGGCCAAACAUUCCCAUUACAGCAUCCCCAGCUGUGGAUCCCGUUCCAUCCCUCCAGCCCGUCCACGGGUACGAUCCUGCAACCCGCCAGUCGCCUCCCAUGCUAUCAUUGCCGGUGACACCCAAAUCCUCCCUUACACGAGUCCAUUCCAUGUCAUCCUCCUCUGAGCUAACCAUCUCUUCCUACAUUCCCUCGGUAAAACCCUCAAAGGAGUCUUCGUCUGUUGGUUCUGCAAAUAAGUCCCGGAGCCGUUUCCUUUCGCGCUCCUCAAGAGAGUCUGACUCUCGAGGAGUCUUACGACCUCGUCUCCCAGUAUCGGAGCCAUAAGGCUCAACCAUAACAUGAAUUGCUUGAGUACAUGGCAGUAAAGCAGAUCAGUUUUUCCCUAUGAGCUGACAGGAAUGAUAGUUUGCUGGCCUUUAAGAUCUUGUGGGACUCUUAACUCCUACCAUCCCCAGCUAGCAUGGCCAGUGGUCAGAGAUUAUGGGGUUUAUAUUCUGGGAAGAGCAGAAGUAGCAGUUUAUUUCUGAAUGGCAUGGGAUUGUAGUGGAUGUUCCUUCUUUCUCUAUGCUUUCCUGAAUGCAUGAACAUUCAACUGUUGUGACUAAACCAACAAAAAUGAUAACUAUGAGCAGGUAAUGUGUCAGAAUUAUUUCUGUUCUGAGGUGAUAAUAAUGACAAAAGUACAUUUGGACAUCUGAAUUAGGAUGCGAAUUGUGCAGCCUAUUAAAUGUCAUUGGAAUGUGAAUCCCAGCAGCUGUAUUGAGCACAAUAUUUAUUUAUUUAUUCCCUAGCAUUCUCUGAAAGCAGGACUCAAAGUAACAAAGAGAAGAGUUCAGAAGUGUUAACAAAGAACAUCUGGCGGGGCAUAUCAUUCCCAUUAUAUGGAUACUUGAAUUUCUCUAACAUUGUAAUUUAUUUCAUAUUUGUAUCUUAUAUUCCCAGCACUUGUUUAAAGUUUUAAAAUUUCUAAUUCAAAUAUAUUUCAUAUUUUACAUUUUUAGUCACUCUCUCCCCCGGACUGUGGUGGAGGCUCCUUCUUUGGAGGCUUUUAACCAGAGGCUGGAUGGCCAUCUGUCAGGGGCACUUUGAAUGUGAUUUCAUGCUUCUUGGCAGGGGGUUAGACUGGAUGGCCCAUGAAGUCUCUUCCAACUCUACUAUUCUAUGAUUCUAUGAUUCUAAGUUGAAGUUGAAGCUUAAUACUACAUUUGGAUUAUUAUAUUUCAAUCAAUCUUUUUUUAUUAUUAUUAUGGUCCAUGACCAGCACAAAGUGGGGCACAAACGCCCUGGGAAGGGGAAAUGCAAUUCCCUUUUAAGCAGUUAUAAAAGAACAGAUUAGAAAACAGAUUGAAAUCACAGUUUAAAAACACAGAUUAAUGUAGCAGGUAUGGAACCGAGGGGGGGGGGAGAGACUGAUAGGAGGAGUCAAAGCACUGGGGAGGGAUACAAUAACUUACAGUGUUACUAAGUUUUGUGCUGCAGCAAUUAAAAUUAGACAGAUGAUGAUUGACCCCACAAGGCAACAUCCGGUCAGGAAUGUAGCUAGAGCAACUUGUUACAGAUUAUUAUAUGUAUCUCUUAAUACAUGCAGAUGCUGACCUAUAUGCAGUAAACUAUCAUUGCAGGUUUUAGCACUAGAAGCUUAAAAUGUCUGACUGUGGAGGUGAAGAGCCUAAUUAAGAGAAAGAUUUUGGUUCAGAUGGGCCAUCACAGUACUAUUAUGUAAGGAGCUAAUAGUCAAUUUAAUCAAGGAUAACAGAAUAAAACUUUCACAUUGAAAUUACUGUUUAAAGUUUACUAUUAAUUCCCUUUACGUAAAUAAGUCAAAACAGUUUAUUGCAUGGUUGACAUCUAAACUCAUUUUAAAAAGAGAGCAAAGACAUGGCCCAAUAGCAAUUUUAUCAUUCUUUUGGAACAUUAUGUCCUCAAAUUAAAUAAAAAAUGAAUGUUAAGUGUCAAAGAGUCUGUUCACUUGAUACAACUCAAAUAACCUGCCAUGUGAGCAGAUACUUUGAUUAAAGCUCUCACUGUUGGAUGUGUCAAAAUGUUUAUUCCCUGGACUGCACUCUUCCAAUAUUUCUGAUCUGAUAUGUAGCCAUCAAUCAACAAACUCAUAAAAUUGUCAAUACUACAGCUAGGCUUAAAAUAUUGAACAAUGAGAUCUGUCCUUGUCCUUCAUUUGUCUUAAUUUAUAUGAGUCCUUUUUUUAUUACUUCAGUAGGCAAUGUUUCUAUCACUGUUUACAAAAAGUACCUGUACAAUACAAUGCCUAUAUUGUGUCCUUUUGUAAGUAUGCUAGUAAGUAGCAAAGACAAGUGUUCACAUACUUUAAAAAGAUUCCCACCCCCAAUUUCCAAACUGAAAGUUCUUAAGUAUGUCACUUAAUCUUUUAAACAUUUCUCUGUAUUCCACACUGCAUUUGACUUAGUUGUAUUGUGAUAGAAAUCUUUCAUCUCAAACCACAUGCAGUUGAGCAUAGAUCUAGUACACAGAAGCAUUGGGUUUUAAGUCGUUGCUACAAAAUAUAAUGAUCUCACAUUCCUCUUUAUUAACAGUAUGCACUUUAUUGUAUGCCUUUGUUAAUUAAAACUAAGUUUAUUUUCAGUCUCAGAAUCAAGUGAAUAUUUGAUUUUGAGAAGAUUCAUGUCUCACCCAAUCAGGCUGAUGAUGUGCAAUGCGUUGGGAAGACUUUUAAGAAGGAGAAUGGAUAAAGUGUUGCCAUUUGCAAUUAAUUAUGAGUGAUUGUGAAAUUAAUGACUUACCCCACACUCAUAUUAUGUAAGAAAGUUUCAGAAAAAGUCUAAAAGAUAGAAUUAGCUGAUCGAGGUGGGAAGAAAUACUAUGCAACAAUGUGACCAUACUGAAUUUAUCAAUUUAUUGCAGAUAUAGGGAAGAGCUCACAAGAUUUCUUUAAAAAUACAAAGUUUACUACCACUUUAACAAAUUUUUCAUUGACCCUUUGCUCAACCUUGAGAUACUAUUCAUGCUGAACCAGACUGCUUUCAAAAAUAUACAAGAUUUUCAUUAAGCACUAUGUCCUUCUACAAAAGACAAAGGCAUAAAGAAAAGACAGUGGAAUGAAGUGAGAAUUAGGUCAUCUUUAAAUUUAUGGCACAUUUAAGUUUAAUAAGCUACUUGGCAGUUACAUCUGUAGCACUUACAAUACUACUCUAUACAUGUCUACUCAGAAAUAAUUCCCAUUGAAUUCAUCUCUACCACGUAUGCUCUACACAGACAGUAAAAGUCACUUGGGUCCAUAGUUCUAAAGAACUACAUUCAGAAGCUGUAGGGGAGAGAUUCUGGAACUGCACACCAAACAAGUAUUUUUUCUAAAUUAAAAAUAAACAGUAAAUAAAUGCUGACAAACAGAUCACUAGGAGAAUUGUCACAGUAGUCAGAAAAUGUUGUAUGUUAU